GACGAACGCUGGCGGCGUGCCUAAUACAUGCAAGUAGAACGUUGAAGCUUGGUGCUUGCACCGAGCGGAUGAGUUGCGAACGGGUGAGUAACGCGUAGGUAACCUGCCUGGUAGCGGGGGAUAACUAUUGGAAACGAUAGCUAAUACCGCAUAAGAGUAGAUGUUGCAUGACAUUUGCUUAAAAGGUGCAAUUGCAUCACUACCAGAUGGACCUGCGUUGUAUUAGCUAGUUGGUGAGGUAACGGCUCACCAAGGCAACGAUACAUAGCCGACCUGAGAGGGUGAUCGGCCACACUGGGACUGAGACACGGCCCAGACUCCUACGGGAGGCAGCAGUAGGGAAUCUUCGGCAAUGGACGGAAGUCUGACCGAGCAACGCCGCGUGAGUGAAGAAGGUUUUCGGAUCGUAAAGCUCUGUUGUAAGAGAAGAACGAGUGUGAGAGUGGAAAGUUCACACUGUGACGGUAUCUUACCAGAAAGGGACGGCUAACUACGUG
rnacentral:rRNA from 1 species